UGUAAAUCUCUGACUAGUUUCUGCCUCUCCCCAUCCUCCUCACUCACUUCCUACUACUUCCCAGUAUCAAAGAGCAUGUAAGAAAGGACAGCAUUUGGACGGGCAGGGCUCUUCAGCCCCUGCUUUGCUCUUUUCUAGGUACCUCUUCUUCUUCCUUGAAAGCCAUUGUCCCUUUAAUCAAUGUGACACAGCCCUUUGAAAACAGCCUCCUUGCUCUUGGAAGUUGGCAGGGGAAAAAAGGCAGGAAUUCAUUUGCAGGGAACCUAUCCUCUGGCAGAUGAAGUCAGGAGCGACUCCAGGAAAUAGAUUAUAAAGUGAAAGUCUAGGAGCUGGAUCUACCUCUGGCCAACUGGUAAUGAGGACCCCAUUAUAGAAGGUGAGUAGAGUACUCAUAGCCCCUAACGUGUUAUAGUGGUUAUUGUGAAAACUUUCACUAAUGGUGAACUGGAACAAGAUACCUGGUGAAAGGAAAUGUACAAGUGUGAGAUCAUCCUAGGCAUUUGAAAGAUUCUGAGAAAAUAGUAAUUAUAAAGGCUGUGAAAUCAAUCAGACAGUCUUUGCUGGGUGCUAUUGAGUCAUUGAAGAAAUACCUUAAAAUGCUGACGAUAAUUAACAAUUAAUUAAAUAAUAGCUCUAAAAACUGGAGAGCUUUUUUGGUAGUAGAAAAGAGACUCAAUUCUUGGAAUUUGAAGGGAAGAAAAGAAUGUUGUAAGACUAGUAGAAUUCCAGAGAAAGUUGACUAGUCAACCAUGGCAAAUCUGACAU
rnacentral:lncRNA from 1 species